rnacentral:rRNA from 1 species
UACGAAGGGGGCUAGCGUUGUUCGGAAUUACUGGGCGUAAAGGGCGCGUAGGCGGCCUUCUAAGUCGAACGUGAAAUCCCUAGGCUCAACCUAGGAACUGCGUCCGAUACUGGGAGGCUUGAAUCCGGGAGAGGGAUGCGGAAUUCCAGGUGUAGCGGUGAAAUGCGUAGAUAUCUGGAGGAACACCGGUGGCGAAGGCGGCAUCCUGGACCGGCAUUGACGCUGAGGCGCGAAAGCCAGGGGAGCAAACGGG